AUGUUCCAGGCAACUGGCAUCCUGGAAGGCUUCCUGGUGCCUACCUCAAAUCAUAGUUUUUCUGCCUUAUCACCUUAACGGGUCUUUAGGAGCAAUUUUCUCAUUGCAGUUAGUAAGGGUGUUGGAUGCUGGUUUGUCCCUGUAAGCUGAGAUGAUUAUGAAGAAGAGCAAGAUAAAGAUUGUAAGAGAACAUAAACCCCACCCUGUGUUUCUGAGGAAAGAAAAGUCACUGCUGAGCAGAAGCCGUGGGAUAAAAAACAGCAACCUGCUCAUGUCCCUGUGUUGUCUAGGUUUGUUUGGGAUCAAAAGCUAACCUAAUGUACUGUGAAGGGCAGAGGGAAGGGGAAAGCAGUCCAGAGGGAGCAGCUCUGGGAUUCAGCACACCAGCCCAUGUCCAUGCUCCUGCUGUGCCAGCUGAGCGUGUAGGACUUUUUAUAUAUUUAACACGUUGCAGUUUCAUGGAGCAUAUUCAGUUUCAGAACUGAAGAUAAGCAUUUUCUCCUGAGGUCUCUGUGCUGGUUUCCCAGCUGAAGAGGUCCAGAGAGAGUUUGUAGAAGUGGAAGUAGGGGAAUUCUGAAGUGUGAUGAAACUCAUGUGAAACUUAAUCACUGUUGGCCCUGAUUUUACAUUCAAAAUCCAAAUAGCUGCAAAUAUGAGUGUGGGAAACAGCAGAGAUUCUAUCCCAUGUCUUUCAUCAUGAGAUCCUAGUGCCCCCCAGAGUCUGACUAAUAAAAUCACUGAGACCAAGAUCCAAUGAAUGGGCUCUGCUGAAACAGAAACAUUUUGUGGUGUGGAGCUUGGACUUCCUCAGUUGUCCUAUUAGCUGUCCAAAAUAAUUCUGUUCAGAUGAUCAAGGCAUGAAUAUUGCAAAUUCUUCCUGAGUUGAAAUAAGAAUUCAUUGGCGAAUGAGGGCAAGAAUUAAUUAGUGAGGAGCAAAGGCAUAGAUCUGCAGAAUUGUGGGGAGUGUGGAGGUGAUUGCAUUGCAACUGCUUUGUUGUCUACUGCAGCAGCAUAACUUAGGCCAUUCAGGGUAGGGGUGGGAUGAAGAGAGUGCUUUUACCAUUAGCUAAUGUCUAACUGAAGUGCUGUGUGGUGCAGUCAUAGUUAGCAGAGGAUGUACCCACUGGAGCCAAUGGAGGGAUGAGCACUACCUGAGAGCCAUUCAGGUGACACCCUUCUUAAUUUCCUUUCAUGGUUCUUCAGUCACAGGGUUCCCAUUGACACCUUUCUUCGGGCUCACUUUGCAGUCCAAGCUUCUGUCCCUGAGGCAGCUUCCUCAGGCACUCAGAGCAGGCAGAGGCAGCACUCUGGCAUGAUGUCCCAUGUUUGCUCUUGGAAAAUGUCCCCUCACUACCCACUUGCUCUGUGUUUGCCCCCGUGGGUUCCUGGCACUGGUGAGCAGCACCAAAGGCUGGAAACACAUCUCCAGGCCUGCUGUAAAACCCAGGGGGCUGCACAGCAAGGGGAUUGCUCUUUGCCUCCCUGAAUUCCAAGGCUGUAUUCCCAUGCACUUGCCUCCCCUCAGUUGCUGUGGCACUAUCUGCCCAGCAGCACUGCUGCUCAGAAUGUUCUUCUGUGAGCAUGAGAAUACUUCCUCUGCCACAUCCUGCUAACUUUCUCAUUACACUUUAUAGCAGACAUUAAUGUCUAGAAAAAAAGCAGAUUUUAUCUGCUCCCAAGAUAGAACAUAAAACAAGCAUCUAAGGCUCUGUAAUGCCAAGACGUUUUUAGGAUGCUUUUCAGAACAUGUACUUGACUUCAAUCAUUCUGAAUCUAUUUUGUAAUUACAAAGCCAUUUUAUGUUCCUUUGAAACCAAUUCUAAAGCCAUUUCACAACCACACUGAAAAUAUCUUGUGUACAGAAUUUAGACAAACAUUUAUUUCAGUCCUGUCUUUUUCUUUUUUUUCCUGCUGUACAGUGGAAAAAGGGGUCUUUGCAGAACUCAAGGUACUCUUGACCAUCUCACCAGGACCUCUAUGAAAGGCUGCUUGAAGGAGUUCCAUUCAUCUGGGCAGUGUUAGUCCAGAAAAAAAGGAAAAGGAAACUCUCCCAGUGUAAAGUUUUCAGGCCCGAUGGAGUCAUUAACAUUUACUUUCAACUAUGGCACGGGCCAUCCUGCUUCCCUGAGGAUUCCUUUGUCAGGGUGAGCAGCAGAGGGUCACUAGACCACAAAGCUGAGUAGUGGCUCUGAGGUUUCCUCAGCUGGCUGUGGGGCAGGGCAGGCUGGUUCACUGCUGAUUGGAGAGAGGUUUGGAUCAGCAUGUUUGCCUAUUGUAUUACUUUUUCCUUGACAAUGCUGUGAGGAACACGAUCAGACUUAUAAAACCAUUCUCUGUUCAGCUGUAAGUAACCCUCAUAGAAAGUAGGUUUUCUUUGACUACAAAAUAGCAAAGAUCAUCUACCUAGCAGACCAGAUGAAGCUGAUCUCAGACAAGCCAAAGCUUUAUUUAGACUCAGCCAUGUUAAAGCACAAAUCUGUCAUCCACGUGCAGGGCCAGGACCUGAGUGAUGUGCAUUUAGAGACCAACCUACUCACAGCCUAUAUAAUGCCAGUGAAGCAUUCAACCAGACAAGGAGAGACAAAAAGCCUGGGAACAAGGUCUGUGAUAAGUGAGAUAUCCUUUCCCUACCUUUCACCUGCAGGUAACUUUGUUGAUUAGUGACUCUGACAUGUGGCCUGGGGUUUUUUCUUAUUAAUGAAGAAAAAAAUUGGGCAUCAGUUCCUGAAUAUGACUGUAGUGCAGAGUUUUGAAAUAAAACCAAUGGUAUGUGGCUGAACCUGCCUGAUAAGAAGUUAUUAAAAAAAGUAAUAAUGUCUUAGUCACAGCAAUGAGGAGAUAAAUUAUAUGUUAAAUGGCAAAGCACAGCACUGCAUAUUUCAUGCUCUGUAAUGACUUAAGAGUUCAUCAUGAUAAAUGUUAUUAAAAUAAGGACGAAAGGAAUUAAAUGUGAUGCUCUGCUACCUGUGCUGAGAUCUCUUCAACUCACUUAAUUCUUGCUGCCUUGCCUUUUGCAUAGUCACUAUUCAUAUCACUUUUAAAGAAAGUGAAAAGGCAAAAGAAGCAAAUCCUUUAUGAUGAAAGGCUUCACGAUUAACAAAGGGAGAAGAGGAGUUGCCUUGAAGCUUUCCAACUGCCUGUAAAAAAUGAGGUUUAGGUUAUACACAGGUGGCAUUAUAUUUAAAUGUCAGAUCUGGGCUUUGUUCCCCUCUUUAAUAUAAAUGUCAGUGGCAUUUUUCUGGGAAAUCUUUUUGUUUCAACUUCCCCUUUAAUAAAUUCAGACUGGCUUUCAGUCUUGCCAUCUAUUUUUGUUUAUUCAAAACUCUGUUGACUGAAAUUCUGCAUCAGUUUUUUUUUCUAGAAGCCAUGAAUAAAACACAAGUGGUGGACCAGGCAUAUUCCAGAAGAUCAGCAGCAGUGGACAAGUGUUGUAGUGACAGUGAGGAGGAAAUAAAAUACCAUGAACCUCCCCCAGCCACAGCCAAGGCAGGGGAGCUGCAUUAGUACUUGGGCCACUGGUUGAUUAUAUGAAGAAAUAGUGGUUCCCUUGCUGGGAGGGAAAGUAGAACCAACAGCACUUCCAUCUGCAGUGGGUAAAGUAGGUGUGGGUAAUGGGAUGGCACAGGGAGAAGAAAUAACUGAAACUCCUAAAUACUACCUUAGCCUGCUCUAAAGUGAGACAGUUCUUAAAAAGCUGUAUAAGCUUUUGAGAAAAAUAUGAUGGUGUCAAAAGACUGCUGUUUAGUACCUGAAUUACCUCUACUUCCAGAUCAGUUGGCAGGUGCUGCUGAAGUACCACUGCGGGGAGGAAUCACCUCAUCCAUCAUCAGUGCAUUACUCCUGUCCUUGCUUUCUGAGACAGUUCAGUGCCUUUGUACCUCCAGAUGCUCUUACAGCUGCCAUUCACACAGAGUAACACCAGUGGGAAGGCAGGAGUGGGCAUUGGCAAUGUUUUCCUCACUCGAACUGGAAGGCUGAAGGAAAUGCCACGGAAAGUGUCCCCAUCUGCUGCCACCUGCCUUAUCACCUGCCCAGGGUACUGGGAUAGGGGCACCUUUAGUCUCAUUCAGUAAUGCCAGCUUUACUCUGUGGGCCCUUCAGAGCUGCAAUUACCCCUUUCAUUUGUAUGUAUUUGAUACUCUUAAAAAAACCCCAGUAUCCCCAUUUUCUAUGUGGGUUUUUCCCACCCAAAAAUCUAGUUUGUUGCAUUUAAUGCAGAAAGUUUUGUCUGCUCUGAAAUAGCAACAACUGCCUUUCUGUAUGAAAUAAAGUAAAUGUUGGUAAA